CCUACGGGAGGCAGCAGUGGGGAAUAUUUCACAAUGGGGUAAACCCUGAUGCAGCAACGCCGCGUGAGUGAUUUCGGCCUUCGGGUUGUAAAGCUCUGUCUUCAGUGACGAUUAUGACGGUACCUUAUGCGGACGCCACGGCUAACUACGUGACAGCAGCCGCGGUAAUACGUAGGUGGCGAGCGUUGUCCGGAUUUACUGGGCGUAAGGGGUGCGUAGUCGGACUUUUAAGUGAGAUGUGAAAUACUCGGGCUAAACUUGAGUGCUGCAUUUCAAACUGGCAGUCUAGAGUGCAGGAGAGGAGAAUGGAAUUACUAGUGUAGCGGUGAAAUGCGUAGAGAUUAGGAAGAACACCAGUGGCGAAGGCGAUUCUCUGGACUGUAACUGACGCUGAGGCUCGAAAGCGUGGGGAGCAAACAGGAUUAGAUACCCCUGUAGUC
rnacentral:rRNA from 1 species